rnacentral:rRNA from 1 species
GAUGAACGCUAGCGGCAGGCUUAACACAUGCAAGUCGAGGGGUAUUGGUUUUCGGACCAAGAGACCGGCGCACGGGUGCGUAACGCGUAUGCAAUCUACCUUUUGCAGAGGGAUAGCCCCAGAGAAAUUUGGAUUAAUACCUCAUAGUAUAGUACUUUGGCAUCAAGGAACUAUUAAAGUCACAACGGCAAAAGAUGAGCAUGCGUCCCAUUAGCUAGUUGGUAAGGUAACGGCUUACCAAGGCUACGAUGGGUAGGGGUCCUGAGAGGGAGAUCCCCCACACUGGUACUGAGACACGGACCAGACUCCUACGGGAGGCAGCAGUGAGGAAUAUUGGACAAUGGGCGCAAGCCUGAUCCAGCCAUGCCGCGUGCAGGAUGACGGUCCUAUGGAUUGUAAACUGCUUUUAUACAGGAAGAAACACUCCGACGUGUCGGAGCUUGACGGUACUGUAAGAAUAAGGAUCGGCUAACUCCGUGCCAGCAGCCGCGGUAA